rnacentral:rRNA from 1 species
CCUACGGGAGGCAGCAGUGAGGAAUAUUGGUCAAUGGUCGGGAGACUGAACCAGCCAAGCCGCGUGAGGGAGGAAGGUACAGAGUAUCGUAAACCUCUUUUGUCAGGGAACAAAGACUGGGACGCGUCCCCUGUUGAGUGUACCUGAAGAAAAAGCAUCGGCUAACUCCGUGCCAGCAGCCGCGGUAAUACGGGGGAUGCGAGCGUUAUCCGGAUUUAUGGGGUUUAAAGGGUGCGGAGGCGGUCUGUUAAGUCAGCGGUCAAAGCCCGGGGCUCAACCCCGGCCCGCCGUUGAAACUGGCAGUCUCGAGUUGGAGAGAAGUAGGCGGAAUGCGCGGUGUAGCGGUGAAAUGCAUAGAUAUCGCGCAGAACUCCGAUUGCGAAGGCAGCAUGCCGGCUCCACACUGACGCUGAGGCACGAAAGCGUGGGUAUCGAACAGGAUUAGAUACCCGGGUAGUC